UAGAUGCGGAGAUAUUGGCGUGCCUCAAUUCGAAGACAUGGCUAAAGUGAUCAGUUUAUGUAGCCUUGUAAUUGGAUUGAGCCGCGUCAAUAUCUCCCUCAGCUCC
rnacentral:pre_miRNA from 1 species